rnacentral:rRNA from 1 species
GGAUUAAUUUAAAAAGAAACUAGUAAAUUUACAAAACUAAUUAGUAGUUAUGUCUUUUUUAUAAGUUUAAUUAAAAAAAAUUUUAUAAGGAUAUAAGUAAUAGUGUACCUUUUUGCACAAGGGUCCAACAAGUUAAUUUAUAUAGCAAGUCAAAAUGAGACGUAAAGAAAUUAAGUUUGAAAAAUAGCUAAUAGUUAUAUGAAUUAAACCCGAAACCAAAGGAUUUAACCGUGAACAAGCCGAAAAUAAGUUUUAUUGGAGGGCUGAACCAAUAUUUGUUGCAAUAAAUUUGGAUGAUUUACGGUUCGGAGUGAAAAGCUAAUCGACUUUGGUGAUAGCUGGUUUUCUGCGAAAACUAUUUAGGUAGUGUGUUAUUAAUAAAUAAUAAAUUAGGUAAAGUACUUAUUAAUCUAGG